rnacentral:rRNA from 1 species
GACGAACGCUGGCGGCGUGCUUAACACAUGCAAGUCGAACGGAAAGGCCCUGCUUGCAGGGUGCUCGAGUGGCGAACGGGUGAGUAACACGUGGGUGAUCUGCCCCUUACUUUGGGAUAAGCCUGGGAAACUGGGUCUAAUACUGGAUAGGACCAUGCUGUAGGUGGUGUGGUGGAAAGAUUAGUUUCGGUAAGGGAUGAGCUCGCGGCCUAUCAGCUUGUUGGUGGGGUAAUGGCCUACCAAGGCGUCGACGGGUAGCCGGCCUGAGAGGGUGGACGGCCACAUUGAGACUCAGACACGACCCAGACGCCUACGGGAGGCAGCAGUGGGGGAUAGUGCACAAUGGGCGCAAGCCGGAUGCAGCGACGCCGCGUGGGGGAUGACGGCCUUCGGGUUGUAAACUCCUGUCGGCCAUGACGAAGCCCUUGUGGUGACGGUAGUGGUAGAAGAAGCACCGGCUAACUACGUG